rnacentral:pre_miRNA from 1 species
AUUUUCAGUUUUCCUCGGUAGUUAACUGCAGCCGAUUCCAUAAUUCGGCAGUUAACUGCCGAAGGAUAU